GAUGAACGCUAGCGGGAGGCUUAACACAUGCAAGUCGAGCGGUAGGGCAGCAAUGCCUGAGAGCGGCGCACGGGUGCGUAACGCGUAUGCAACCUGCCUUAUACAGGGGAAUAGCCCAUGGAAACGUGGAUUAAUGUCCCAUAGGAUUACGGAUUCGCAUGGAUUUGUGAUUAAAACUGAGGUGGUAUAAGAUGGGCAUGCGUCUGAUUAGGUAGUUGGUAGGGUAAUGGCCUACCAAGCCGACGAUCAGUAGGGGUUCUGAGAGGAUUACCCCCCACACUGGUACUGAGACACGGACCAGACUCCUACGGGAGGCAGCAGUGAGGAAUAUUGGUCAAUGGCCGGAAGGCUGAACCAGCCAUCCCGCGUGCAGGAUGACAGCCCUAUGGGUUGUAAACUGCUUUUGUACCUGAAGAAACCUGUUUACGAGUAGACAGUUGCCGGUAAGGUAUGAAUAAGCAUCGGCUAACUCCGUGCCAGCAGCCGCGGUAAAAC
rnacentral:rRNA from 1 species